rnacentral:rRNA from 1 species
CCCAUGCGAGAGUAGGGAC